rnacentral:rRNA from 1 species
UACGUAGGGUGCGAGCGUUGUCCGGAAUUAUUGGGCGUAAAGAGCUCGUAGGCGGUUUGUCGCGUUGUCUGUGAAAACUCACAGCUCAACUGUGGGCGUGCGGGCGAUACGGGCAGACUAGAGUACUGCAGGGGAGACUGGAAUUCCUGGUGUAGCGGUGGAAUGCGCAGAUAUCAGGAGGAACACCGGUGGCGAAGGCGGGUCUCUGGGCAGUAACUGACGCUGAGGAGCGAAAGCGUGGGGAGCGAACAGG